rnacentral:rRNA from 1 species
UCCGAAGGGGGCUAGCGUUGCUCGGAAUUACUGGGCGUAAAGCGCACGUAGGCGGCUUUCUAAGUCGGGGGUGAAAUCCUGGAGCUCAACUCCAGAACUGCCUUCGAUACUGGAGAGCUUGAGUCCGGGAGAGGUGAGUGGAACUGCGAGUGUAGAGGUGAAAUUCGUAGAUAUUCGCAAGAACACCAGUGGCGAAGGCGGCUCACUGGCCCGAUACUGACGCUGAGGCACGAAAGCGUGGGGAGCAAACAGG